rnacentral:lncRNA from 1 species
CUUGCAUCGACACAUUGUCAUAUGUUUUACGUACUGCUCUAAUAGGAUUCUUUUUGCCAAUUCAGAACAAAAACCACCACAUCUUGAAACUUCAUCUAAAAAAAAUUUGGAUACAAAUAUUUUUGGAUUGAACACAGUGUUUCAUUUUGAUCUCAUGUAACACGUAAAAGAGAAAAAAUGAUGUAAACUCAAGGUAAUUUUGAACUGAAAACUUGAAGGCUGAAAUGGUACAGAGGUUUCAGCUGUGUCAUUGCUGGUCCACUUUCAAAAUGAAAUCCAAACACAAUCAAAAUGAUUUCACGAAUGGUCUUUCAGUUUCAAAAGAACUGCAUUUUCCAGCUUAAAAAAAAAAAAAAAAAAGCUGUAGCAUGAAAGAUUUUCUAAUCAACACCAGUGAAGGAGAAAACUAGCUGUUGGAUACAGCAUGCAAAGCUCAGGGAGGGUCUUUAAAAGUUCCUGAAAUGUAAACACAGAGAGCUUUUUUUUUUUAAAUAAAAGAUUUUUUUUUAAGAUUAAAAAAAAAAAAAAAAAAAAAAAGGAGACAGAGAGAGGGGGGAGGUUUUACAUCAUAUUGGAGAGGGAAGGUUGUAGAGACCCCACCCUGCAUCUGGCAGGCGGGGAGGUCACUGAAAGCUGCUGCAGGCUCCCAGGAGCCAUCCCAUCACAGAUGAAUUUCCCCAGCCUCAUCUGCAGAUCAGUUGCAGAAAACUGAUGAAACCAGAA